rnacentral:rRNA from 1 species
UACGAAGGGUGCAAGCGUUACUCGGAAUUACUGGGCGUAAAGCGUGCGUAGGUGGUUUGUUAAGUCUGUUGUGAAAGCCCCGGGCUCAACCUGGGAAUGGCAAUGGAUACUGGCAGGCUAGAGUGCGGUAGAGGGUAGUGGAAUUCCCGGUGUAGCGGUGAAAUGCGUAGAGAUCGGGAGGAACACCAGUGGCGAAGGCGGCUACCUGGACCAGCACUGACACUGAAGCACGAAAGCGUGGGGAGCAAACAGGAU